AUUGAACGCUGGCGGCAUGCCUUACACAUGCAAGUCGAACGGCAGCACGGGAGCAAUCCUGGUGGCGAGUGGCGAACGGGUGAGUAAAGUAUCGGAACGUGCCCAGUCGUGGGGGAUAACGUAGCGAAAGUUACGCUAAUACCGCAUACGAUCUAUGGAUGAAAGCGGGGGAUCGCAAGACCUCGCGCGAGAGGAGCGGCCGAUGUCCGAUUAGCUAGUUGGCGGGGUAACGGCCCACCAAGGCGACGAUCGGUAGCUGGUCUGAGAGGACGACCAGCCACACUGGGACUGAGACACGGCCCAGACUCCUACGGGAGGCAGCAGUGGGGAAUUUUGGACAAUGGGCGCAAGCCUGAUCCAGCCAUGCCGCGUGUGUGAAGAAGGCCUUCGGGUUGUAAAGCACUUUCGGGCGGAACGAAAUCGCGCGGAUGAACAAUCCGCGUGGAUGACGGUACCGCAAGAAGAAGCACCGGCUAACUACGUGCCAGCCGCCGCCGUAA
rnacentral:rRNA from 1 species